UAAACAUGGGAUUUUAAUCCCAAUGGACCAAAAUAUAGUCCUCAUCUUCCAAUUCCUCAAGAACAAUACCCCCUAGACUGAAAAUAAAAACCAAGAUCCUUCCAAAUUCUACCGUAGAAUUUUAAAAAUAAUUCGAGAAUGGAAUCCUCAGAUCGAGAUCUUCAAGAAGCACCUAUCAAUUUACGAAUAGAGUUUCGAAAUCAAAAGUUCAUCCAAAUUCACAAAUUUGAGGUUCAGGUGCUCAGUCCCAGCAGCGUCAGUGAUUCCGAGCGCCUUCGUCUACAUUUCUGCAGUGGUGAGUCCUCAUGGUUCGAGGACCAAAUUCUAUAUAUUCAGUAUUACCAGCAGUUGUAUUUAUCUCCUUUCAUUCGAGUAUGAGUCAAUUGGGGAUCUGUCCCAAUGGCUCCUUAUUCUUUGAGUUGUAGAGGCUCUGUCAAACUGGACUGUCAGUUGUGUUGUCGGACUUUUCAA